rnacentral:lncRNA from 1 species
AUUUUGAACAUAAAAGGAUUUUAUAUAAAAUCGUGACCCGCACAGCUGUGGAUUAGUUUUCUAGGGUUUGUAUUUAGUCCCAUCGGGCAUGGCUUGACCGACCCAUCACUCUCUUCUUCUUCUUCUUCUUCUAGCUCAAUCGGCGACGGCGAUUCUCUCUGUCAAUCGUCUAGAUCAGGUAACGAUAACCACUCAUCCUCUUCCUCCGAGUGUUAACUUGAUUGGUUUUAUGCAUGAGCUGGUUUCGUAGCAACAUUUCCCCCUUUUUCUUUUCUCUUGUUUGGCCAUCGGAUUCGCCGUGACCUCCAAUCUGGGGAUUUUUUCCGAUUCAUUAUUUAUGCAGUCCUUUUCGAUUGCUGUUUUCUUUGGGUGAUUAGCGAAUUGUUCAUUUGGGUUCUCGUUUCAUCGUUUGUAAUUGUGACCCUUCCGUUAUAUGAAUUGGUGAAAUCGGGGUUCUUAGCUGAGCUUUGUUAUCGUAUGUGGAUGGUAGUUGUAGCUCGCAGCUCGUUGAAUUGCUUUUUAUGUUAUUUGUUAGGGAUGGAUCUAAUUUUUCCUGGCUUGUUUCUAUGAAUUGCAAAGUUUUCUAUUGCCAGAUGGAUGUGAUGUAGAGUACAGGGAUUGCCCAACACUGCCUUUGAAAAAUUGGGUUCCUGGGAAAUUGUAGUUUCAUACUAAUAAACGAUUAAUAUUGUUCGUGUUGUUAGUUGGAUGGUGUUUGAUGAUCGGCCCUAUGUUGGUCCUCUCGUAGGUGGAUAUUUUGGUCUUCUCUGAGCUUGUGCAUGCAAAGUUCCAUGAUCUCCUCCAGUCAUCUUUCAGUUAUGCAUCUGUGCUUGUACUUCUUGUCCGAUUUUUGCAUAGCGACCAAGGCAGUUUUAAACUUUGCUUAUCAAUUUUUUUAUUUCAUUACAUAGUGAAUACUGUAGAAGUUAGUUUGUCAAUUGCUUACUGGUGUUACAAAGCUGAUAUUUGCUGCAGUCCGGUUAUUACCCUGUGAGCCAUUGGGCAUGAUUCAAUUGCAACAACAUUGAUUGAAAGUAAAGCCAACUGCAGGGUUGAAGUUGUGGCAGCUGAAUCUUCAUACUAUGUUCUGAGAGUUAAAAUAUUGCUUGAGUUAGAGUAUGAUGUUGGAGGAUUUGUAAUUUAGGCGUAGUUUCACGUUAGUUUGUAUAUGAGUGUAUAUUCGCCGUGCAUUCUUUUGUGCUCUAUUGACUGGGUAAUGAGUAAUUAUUAACCUUGUAAAGGUCAAUCUUUUGUGAACGGACUUCAUGCCGUGUGCGAUUUCGAGGUAGUAGACUGUAAGGAUGUAAAUAUUUAACAACCAUUUUUUUAGAAUAUUAUACUUUUUUGUUCAUUCAGCUUCUUCGAAGCGUAACCUAUUUAUUGUUCCAGUUGAACUCAAUGAUCCAGAAACUAAAAUUCUUUAAGCCGAGAGCUAAGAACAGACUUCUUGAGAGAAUCAGCUUUGCUUUUAAACUGAUGAUGGACGUUGUUUGUACAUAUGUGAGAACUGUAUUUUUCUGAGUUAAUAUUCAUCGGGGAUAACUUUAGUAGCCCAGACCGUACAAGAUAAUAUUGAAAUGAAAUAUUUUAAAUCACGUGUAAUCAUUAAUCAGAGGUAAUUGGCGACAAGCAAGAACCUCUGCAAGGUCCAAGGACUAAUAAGUUUCAACUAAUAAAGAAC